GUUGCUGUGAAGUAUCCCAACUACAUGAGGCAAUAGGGGAGGGGCCUGAGAGCUGGUGCUGAGGAACCUGGCAUUAGUGGCUGGAAAGAGGUGGUCUAUGGAACACAGAGAAGGAGCAUAUGGUAACACUGCUGUCUGCAAUAUUUCGAAGGUAGAUGAAGGACCUAAUGGACUUGUAGCUCUACCAGAGAGAAUGGACAACAGGAUAUGUGCAGCUUUAAGAAGACCAGGUAUAGUUAAUUUUACCCCCAUGGACCUCGUGCUGGUUAAAUGAGAGGUUAUAUCACUUUUAGAAGUCUUCCAAAGUUCAUAUUCAGAGCGUCGCAUUCUGUUGCCCAGGCUGGAGUGCAGUGGCAUGAUCUUGG
rnacentral:lncRNA from 10 species